CAGAUAUUCAUAGGAACCAACAGGAAAGAUAGGAGAAAAUGCUGUACACAGUAUUUGCAUUGCUAAGGGAGUUGGUGCAAUUUCUGGUAUGAAGGCAGCCCUUUAUCUGCAACAUGGAGACUUUAUCAAUGAAAUCUUCUGUGAAGAGCAUUAAUAGAAUAUCUUCCUGUCCUCCAGCCCCAGCUCAAAGGUGCUGCCAAGUACAGAUAAAAGCACUGGAGUAAUCUCAAUUGACUAUUGUCAGCCUCCAUAAUCUCACCAUCAGUGAAAUGAAUAUUUGGUUGCAGAGGGGAGACAAGCAUCUAUAAUGUUUUCCAUGUGUAAUGGCCAUUUGGAUUCUAUUGCACACAUUUUUUCUCUCCGGUUAUAAACUGUCUAAACCCAAUUUCCCCCUUUUGAAAGUGGAAUCAUGUUUGAUUUAAUAGUAAUGUUAUAGAGCUAAGGAGAGUUUAAGAGUCAUUCUGGUGUUAAAACCCGCUAAGCCUUUAAAUAAAUUGUUGUUAUCUUGAAACUUUCCAAACUCAAAUUGCAUUCACUCACAUGGCUUGUGGAGUCUUGAUAUAUAAAGAAGGACAACUAACGAUUCUGCAAACUCCUCAUAACUCUGUGGCCACUCUUGCAGCUUGCAAAUACAGAACAGAAUUCAGCUCUAGGACUUGCAUUGGCAAAUGUUCACAUGAGUAUUAAUUAACUUGCUGUUUGAAAUAAUGUCCCAAAUUACAGGAUACUUCAUUUUGAAAAAUUGGGCAUUUUAGCAUUACAUCUCCUCUGAAUGACUGCAAUAAUCUCUGAGCUGGUCCAUUUUUCACCAUAAUCCUGGGCCACUGUUCCUAAAAUAAUGUUUCCAUCAGCAUCCUCCUUUGCUUAGAAGCCCAGCAUGACUCUUUUGUUGCCUUUCACAGAAGUAUAAUCUUUGCUUUGCAUUACAGGCCCUUCCCUGUCUGCUUCCCACUCUGCUUUGGCUGUCCCUUCCCCAACCUUUCCUGUGUCAGUUAACCCCAUAUUCCUGCCCCUUGGCCUUGCUUAGUUGUUCACUCUACUCCAGAGCCCCUUCCCUACUUCCAUACUCUGGGAAUCUCAAGUCAUCCCCAAAUGUCUUUCAGUAAGAACUUUUCUAAACACAUUCCCUUUAGAAUUAAUCAUUUUAUCCUUUUGUACUGAGGUGGAAAUGAAUGUGUGGAGGCACAGAGAGGUUUACACAUUUAUUAAGUGUCACAGUUGGGGUGGGCAAUAAAAAAAAGAAAAGCAAUGCAAAAACAUAGUUGGAUCUCAACCAUCACUGUCAAAUUUAGGGACAAAAAAUAAUCUUUGUGAGGACUCGCCAUUGAACUGUGCCUGGAAAGAAGGUUGUAUACAUGGAGUCUUAGAAAUAGAAGACCCUCAGAUUUGAUAUUGACAAUACCUCUCUCUUUCAGGUGGACCUGAAAUCAUGUCACUGAGGAGGUGUGUAGUGUGAUCGAAAUUGCAUGUCGUCUAGUUAUUAGCAGAAGAGGAACAGCCACCCUUUCUCUUAACUGUGCCAAGAGGUCUUGUCCUGUCAGAGAGAAUCGUUUUCUUCUAGAAAGGUUGAUUGCAGCUGGAGUAAACUUAUCUACAAAGUUUCUUCAUAAACAGAAGAGGGUAUGUUGGCCAACGUGAAAGCAAGAAGACCUCAAUGAAUGUGAAAAGUAAUUAGGGGAAAGAGCCAACAUAAAA